GGGGCUGUGGCAGGUGUGGAGGCAGAGGAGGAGAGUGCCGUGGCGGCAGAGGAGGAGAGUGCCGUGGAGGCAGAGGAAGUAGCCAUGGAUGCAGGGGAGCCAGAGAGCGAGAGGAGACAGGAGAGAGAGAGGACGCAGAAGAGAGAGAGGAGAGUGCCGUGGAGGCAGCCAUGGAGGCAGGAGAGGAAGGGGCUGCAACUGCCAUGGGAGUAGCAGAGGUCCAGGUAUUUUGGAGUCCUUGUCCGGCAUGUGGCAAAACCUGGCCUUCAUCUUGGGAACCCACAGGAAAUGUGCAAUUUAGAACAUACACACAUGCACAAACACUUGACCACAACAGGAGCUGGUGGUUCCACCAUUACACAGACACACAAACAUACACAUAUC